ensembl:lncRNA
AGGCACAGGGAGUGAUGGUCCAUGAACUACAUAGUGAGAUGAUAAGACUGGUCAAGAGAUACUUGGGCUACAUUGUUCCAGCUAGAUUGAUUGUCGAUACUCCUGUCAGUGAGGUUUCCUAAAAACAAGAGCACCAGCUGACUAAUGAGGAUCUCUUAAUUGAAGCAGAGGCCAGAGCAUUCCUCAAAAAUGAAGAAUUCUCCUCCGUGUCAGUGACAAGGAUAUAUUAGACAGUGAGAGUUUUCUAUGCAGAAGUCAUUGGGAAGAUGCUGAAGGUCUUUCCCUUACAAUCUCAGCUGCUUAAAGACUUGAAGGUACUGGACCCAGCCUCUCACCUGAAUGUCUCUCCUGAACAGUGGCAAGGCUAGGUUGCAUGUUUCCCCAACUGAAGUUUGAGGAUCCAGAUAAGUCGAGAGGGGAGUUCACAGACUACCAGGUCACAGACAGCAACAAGUUGUCCAAAGAACAGAGAGUUGACAGAUUCUGGGGCCUUGUAGGGAGGAAUGAGACCAGGUUCAGUGAGCUGGCUAGACUGAUGAAAGCAUUGCUCAUCAUCCCCCAUAGCAAUGCCUCUUCAGAGAGGAGCUUCAGCAUGGUGAAAAAAAUAGUUAGAGAAAAUCUCAUGAGCAUGAAUAACAGCAUUCUUUGCUCUCUCCUAUCCUGCAAAAUAAACCACACCAGUUUGGCCUCAAAGUAAACACCGUCCAAGAGGUCACUUAGAGCAGCUAAAUCUGCCACAUACAACUACAACACUUCAAAAGAAAAGUGAGCACAUAUUCAUGUCUACAAAACAUACUGUCAUACUGACCAAAGAGAGACAGUUAUUGAUGCUCAAGGAAUGAUGAAACAUUUCAAAAUGUGUUAAAUGUGUUUGUACUAGUGUUAAAAACUGCAGUGCAGUGGUU